rnacentral:rRNA from 1 species
GCGUAACGCGUAUGCAACUUACCUUUCACAGGAGGAUAGCCCGGGGAAACCCGGAUUAAUACUUCAUGGUGUUAUAAUACGGCAUCGUAUAAUAACUAAAGAUUUAUUGGUGAAAGAUGGGCAUGCGUCCAAUUAGCUAGAUGGCGAGGUAACGGCUCACCAUGGCGAUGAUUGGUAGGGGUUCUGAGAGGAUGAUCCCCCACACUGGUACUGAGACACGGACCAG